UUUGCGAGUACGUUUGAGAAGUUCACAACCUCUAGCGAGCCAUUCUCGGCUACAAGUUCCCAAGAAAUUAUCUUCUUGUAUAAGCUCCCCGCUGUGACUACUACUUGAGCUUCCAUUGCUACCAUUAUUAAGGUUGCUGCAUCCUCCAGAAGUUGUGAGUCCUUUGUCCAUUGGAAUCACUGAUGCAAUGUUCCAAACUUCCUUCAUGGCCCUUGCCUUUAGUGUUGCCACUCCUCUUAACGCUGCACCAGAAUAUAGUCAAAUUACCAAAACAUUUACUUUGAUCUCUGCAUAAAUUUCACUCUUAAGCUAAACCCUAAGAUCAGUUAUUAUGUUUUAUUCAUCAAAAUCAAAACUUUAUCAAAACCCAAAAUACAGAUUCUUGAAGCUACUAAACCUGUGGCUGCACCGGCGGUGAGUGUCAUGAUAUCACCGGCAGAGCGAACAUUGACGGCGGAGCUAACAACAUAGGCCAAAUGCUCUCUUUCAUCAGAAUUGUUGACAAACAAAAAAUCAGAAUUAAAUAAGAUGAUUCAUUCUCAAAGAAGAUGCUUAAGCAAAAGACAAAAUGUGGAUCCCAUAACUUCAUUAUCAUCAUCAUUGUCAUAACGAAUGCUUUUUUUUAUUAGCUUUAGUUUUGUUUCUGCUUUCUCUUCUUUUCCUGCCAUUUGAAAUUAUCUUUUUGUGUGUUUCAUAUAACAAAGUUCAUAUCCAUGUGAAGUAAGCUAAAGAUUCCCACUGAUUUACAAAUAAUUUGACAAUCUUUUUAUCUUUUCACUAGAUCAACGAUAAAGUGAACAAGUUACGAGACACCGUAAGAAUAAACCUUUACCUGAUUCGUCUUGUUGAUGUAAACAGAGACUAUUUUCCAGUGGAGAUCACCUGCAAAAGUAACAAAAAAGCAUUAGAUCACAAAAGAAUCAAGAACUAAAACGUAAACAAAAAUAAAAAGACGUGAUAAUUUUUGUUACCUUUGCGAGUACGUUUGAGAAGUUCACAACCUCUAGCGAGCCAUUCUCGGCUACAAGUUCCCAAGAAAUUAUCUUCUUGUAUAAGCUCCCCGCUGUGACUACUACUUGAGCUUCCAUUGCUACCAUUAUUAAGGUUGCUGCAUCCUCCAGAAGUUGUGAGUCCUUUGUCCAUUGGAAUCACUGAUGCAAUGUUCCAAACUUCCUUCAUGGCCCUUGCCUUUAGUGUUGC
rnacentral:lncRNA from 1 species